rnacentral:rRNA from 1 species
AGAGAGAGACAUGCGCGCAUAUCAAUAAGCGGAGGAAAAGAAACUAACAAGGAUUCCCCUAGUAACGGCGAGUGAAGCGGGAAGAGCUCAAAUUUGAAAUCUUAAAGGGUUUCCCUUUACGAAUUGUAGUUUAAAGAAGUGUUUUCUGUUGAGGUUUUGGUAAAAGUUCUUUGGAAUAGGACAUCAUAGAGGGUGAGAAUCCCGUAUUUGACCUUUACUUUCAACUUUGUGAUACACUUUCAAAGAGUCGGAUUGUUUGGGAAUGCGGUCCAAAAUGGGUGGUAAAUUUCAUCUAAAGCUAAAUAUUGGCGAGAGACCGAUAGCGAACAAGUACCGUGAGGGAAAGAUGAAAAGAACUUUGAAAAGAGAGUUAAACAGUACGUGAAAUUGUCAAAAGGGAAGCGUUUGACACCAGUGUUGUUUUUCUGAAAAUCAAUUAAAGAACUGUUUAUGCUAAGUUGUUUAGACUUUAUCAGCUAACUGUUUAGUUUUGAGCUUUUCUUUAAUGCACUUUUCAGUUAACAAGUCAACAUCAAUUUCUUUUGCUGUAAAAAAGCUUGAGGAAGGUGGCUUGAGAUUCGUCUUAAGUGUUUAUAGCCUCUUGCCUAUGCAGUCGGAGAGAUUGAGGUCUGCAGCGUAGAUCCUUCGGGGCUAAAUGCAUUUGUGCUAAGUUAUAACAUUUUAUAGACAACUUGUUGACUAUGAUUUGUCUUGUAGCUUACUCGCUUAUGUUAUUUUACCUACGCUUAGGAUGUUGACGCAUGAGAUAUACGC